AGAUCAAACUGUUGGUCGUGCCUUGGUACGUACUGGCAUUAUUGAUUUCUCCCUUCUGAAGAACCACGAUGCCAUUUAUUUGGUGUGAUGGGAAAUCAGGACUGUUACUUUGAAAAAAUUAGAGUGUUUAAAGCAGACUAUCGUCUGAAUACAUUAGCAUGGAAUAAUGAAAUAGGACGGACUGAUUCUAUUUCGUUGGUUUCUAGGAUCACCGUA
rnacentral:rRNA from 1 species